rfam:Gossypium hirsutum cultivar TM-1 chromosome 2, whole genome shotgun sequence
AUCUCGUGAUGAGGGCAUCUAGGAAGUAACUCCUUGAAUCUUUCACAUGCCUCGUAUAAGGAUUCAUCAUCCAUUUUUUGAAAAGUUGUGAUCUCAACUUAACAUUU